UACCUUCAAUCUCUGGGUGUUUCAGGAGAAUCAGAAGUCCAUAUCUCAGUGUGGUGCUGGUUGUCCCCGUUCCCGCAAGGAACAAGUCAAGUGUGGUUCUGGUCAAGGACUCAACAGUGAAAUAAGAGUUCUCUUUCUCCUGGAGGAAAAUGUGGCAGAAUUCUUUGAGUCCAAAUGUCCCUGUCCUGGAUAUGGAGGCUUGGCAGUGCAGUGUUAUUGACAGGAGAAGAGCAAAGCAGGUGGAUUCCUGUUCCAAUGACACGAUGAGUUCUGUAUGGCAGUGUUACCUGGGACGCACCUGUGCCUUUGAAGACUUUCUCAAAAAGUGGCAGAUUGCCUCUCCCACUGAAGGCUUCUCCGUUAUCAAUUAGGGCUUCUUUCACAACGUCGUAGCCAUACAGCACCACCACCUUUUUGGGGCCUAAAUGUAUUGUGAAGAUAGGACCGUACUUUUUGCUGAGCUGCAGGAAGGAAGAACACAAGGAACAACACAUCUGGAUGUUAAUCAUGGAA
rnacentral:lncRNA from 1 species